AUAUCUUGGUGCUGCCAUAGUAACUAGAGAUUAAGUUUUUACACUAUAAAAUAUAAUGCAACAUCUUAAAACAUUAGAUAAAAAAACUCUAUAUAGAUGUAUGUAUAUAUAUAUAAAUUUUUUACGCUGCAUCUUAAAGAAAUACUAAAUAUGGAUAACGUGGAGUUAAUGCUAAAAAUUUACAAGUCUAUCUUUAAAAUAAUUUUGUGCGGUUUAAAACUGU
rnacentral:lncRNA from 1 species